rnacentral:tRNA from 1 species
GGUUUUGGCUUGGAGCAAGGUAAAGCUGCUAACUUUGUCUUGAGUAGUUCGAUUCUAUUUAGAAACUU